UGCUCCUGCCAUAAGGCCCUGCCCUUACAACAGGUGUGGCACCUCCAGGACUGUGAGCCAAGGGGGGAAAAAAAAUCUCUACACUUCAGUAUCACUAGUGACAACUGUGAUACUGUGUCUGAAUUAAGCAGAACUGACAGCUUUGGCUGUGGGCCAGAAGAACCACAACUCUAUCUCUGGAAUACAAAACCCAGCUAGCCAAUAGCUGUAUAGUUUCCUGACUCGAUUAACUUCUGGGCGCUGUUACAAAUUACUGGGAACUGGGUGACCUUAAAACAACACGAAUGGGACUGAGAACGCUCGGCUCAGUGGGAGAGCAGUUUUCUUGCCUCCCAAGGUCCUCAGCUUAAUCUCCACCUCCACUAACCAUGCCUGAGAUGAAGGUCUCACGCACUGCGCUCCUUCCAGAGGCUCUAACCAGGGUGCUCCCGGCCUCUCCCAGCUUCCAGGAGUCUGCGUCUGCGGCACAUCAGUCCAGCCUUUGCCUCUGUGGUCACAAUGCCCCUUCCUCUCCAAUUAUCUUCAGCUUUGCUUUCAUAAGGAUCCGUGCGGUUGCAUUUAAGGCCCACCUGGA
rnacentral:lncRNA from 1 species